rnacentral:rRNA from 1 species
CCUACGGGAGGCAGCAGUGAGGAAUAUUGGUCAAUGGCCGGAAGGCUGAACCAGCCAUGCCGCGUGAAGGACAGUGCCCUAUGGGCUUUAAACUUCUUUUGUGCGGGAGCAAUAAUGGGCACGUGUGGCCAGACGAGAGUACCGUAUGAAUAAGCACCGGCGAACUCCGUGCCAGCAGCCGCGGUAAUACGGGGGAUGCAAGCGUUAUCGGGAGUUAUUGGGUUGAAAGGGGGCGUAGGCUGUGAGGUAAGUCAGCGAUGAAAUGCCCCGGCUCAACGGGGUGAAGUGCCAUUGAUACUGGCUUGCUGGAAUGCGGAUGAGGUGAGAGGAAUGUGUGGUGUAGCGGUGAAAUGCAUAGAUAUCA